rnacentral:rRNA from 1 species
UACAGAGGGUGCAAGCGUUGUUCGGAAUUAUUGGGCGUAAAGAGCGCGCAGGCGGUCGUUCAAGUCGCGUGUGAAAGCCCCCGGCUCAACUGGGGAGGGUCACGCGAUACUGAUCGACUCGAAGGCAGGAGAGGGUAGUGGAAUUACCGGUGUAGCGGUGAAAUGCGUAGAUAUCGGUAGGAACACCAGUGGCGAAGGCGGGUCUCUGGGCCGUAACUGACGCUGAGGAGCGAAAGCAUGGGGAGCGAACAGG